rnacentral:miRNA from 1 species
AAAUGUUCUUCGAGUAUCUUC